rnacentral:rRNA from 1 species
UACGGGGGGAGCAAGCGUUGUUCGGAUUUACUGGGCGUAAAGGGCGCGUAGGCGGCCAGCACAAGUCAGUUGUGAAAUCUCCGAGCUUAACUCGGAAAGGUCAACUGAUACUGUGCGGCUAGAGUGCGGAAGGGGCAACUGGAAUUCUUGGUGUAGCGGUGAAAUGCGUAGAUAUCAAGAGGAACACCUGCGGCGAAGGCGGGUUGCUGGGCCGACACUGACACUGAGAGACGAAAGCUAGGGGAGCGAAUGGG